rnacentral:rRNA from 1 species
AGCAGCCGCGGUAAUUCCAGCUCCAAUAGCGUAUAUUAAAGUUGUUGCAGUUAAAAAGCUCGUGGUUGAAUUUCGGGAUUAGUACGUUGGUCGUGCCUUCGGUACGUACUGGUGUUACUGAUUCCUACCUUCUGACGAACCAUCAUGUCAUUAAUUUGGUGUGGCGGGGAAUCAGGACUGUUACUUUGAAAAAAUUAGAGUGUUUAAAGCAGGCUCGCGCUUGAAUACAUUAGCAUGGAAUAAUGAAAUAGGACGUUGACCCUAUUUUGUUGGUUUCUAGGAUUGACGUAAUGAUUAAUAGGGAUAGUUGGGGGCAUUAGUAUUCAAUUGUCAGAGGUGAAAUUCUUGGAUUUAUUGAAGACUAACUACUGCGAAAGCAUUUGCCAAGGAUGGUUUCAUUAAUCAAGAACGAGAGUUAGGGGAUCGAAGACGAUCAGAUACCGUCGUAGUCUUAACCAUAAACUAUGCCGACUAGGGAUCGGAUGAUGUUAUUUUUAAUGACUCA